UUAAGCGACUAAGCGUACACGGUGGAUGCCCUGGCAGUCAGAGGCGAUGAAGGACGUGCUAAUCUGCGAUAAGCGUCGGUAAGGUGAUAUGAACCGUUAUAACCGGCGAUUUCCGAAUGGGGAAACCCAGUGUGAUUCGUCACACUAUCAUUAACUGAAUCCAUAGGUUAAUGAGGCGAACCGGGGGAACUGAAACAUCUAAGUACCCCGAGGAAAAGAAAUCAACCGAGAUUCCCCCAGUAGCGGCGAGCGAACGGGGAGCAGCCCAGAGCCUGAAUCAGUGUGUGUGUUAGUGGAAGCGUCUGGAAAGGCGCGCGAUACAGGGUGACAGCCCCGUACACAAAAAUGCACAUGCUGUGAGCUCGAUGAGUAGGGCGGGACACGUGGUAUCCUGUCUGAAUAUGGGGGGACCAUCCUCCAAGGCUAAAUACUCCUGACUGACCGAUAGUGAACCAGUACCGUGAGGGAAAGGCGAAAAGAACCCCGGCGAGGGGAGUGAAAAAGAACCUGAAACCGUGUACGUACAAGCAGUGGGAGCACGCUUAGGCGUGUGACUGCGUACCUUUUGUAUAAUGGGUCAGCGACUUAUAUUCUGUAGCAAGGUUAACCGAAUAGGGGAGCCGAAGGGAAACCGAGUCUUAACUGGGCGUUAAGUUGCAGGGUAUAGACCCGAAACCCGGUGAUCUAGCCAUGGGCAGGUUGAAGGUUGGGUAACACUAACUGGAGGACCGAACCGACUAAUGUUGAAAAAUUAGCGGAUGACUUGUGGCUGGGGGUGAAAGGCCAAUCAAACCGGGAGAUAGCUGGUUCUCCCCGAAAGCUAUUUAGGUAGCGCCUCGUGAAUUCAUCUCCGGGGGUAGAGCACUGUUUCGGCAAGGGGGUCAUCCCGACUUACCAACCCGAUGCAAACUGCGAAUACCGGAGAAUGUUAUCACGGGAGACACACGGCGGGUGCUAACGUCCGUCGUGAAGAGGGAAACAACCCAGACCGCCAGCUAAGGUCCCAAAGUCAUGGUUAAGUGGGAAACGAUGUGGGAAGGCCCAGACAGCCAGGAUGUUGGCUUAGAAGCAGCCAUCAUUUAAAGAAAGCGUAAUAGCUCACUGGUCGAGUCGGCCUGCGCGGAAGAUGUAACGGGGCUAAACCAUGCACCGAAGCUGCGGCAGCGACGCUUAUGCGUUGUUGGGUAGGGGAGCGUUCUGUAAGCCUGCGAAGGUGUGCUGUGAGGCAUGCUGGAGGUAUCAGAAGUGCGAAUGCUGACAUAAGUAACGAUAAAGCGGGUGAAAAGCCCGCUCGCCGGAAGACCAAGGGUUCCUGUCCAACGUUAAUCGGGGCAGGGUGAGUCGACCCCUAAGGCGAGGCCGAAAGGCGUAGUCGAUGGGAAACAGGUUAAUAUUCCUGUACUUGGUGUUACUGCGAAGGGGGGACGGAGAAGGCUAUGUUGGCCGGGCGACGGUUGUCCCGGUUUAAGCGUGUAGGCUGGUUUUCCAGGCAAAUCCGGAAAACUAAGGCUGAGGCGUGAUGACGAGGCACUACGGUGCUGAAGCAACAAAUGCCCUGCUUCCAGGAAAAGCCUCUAAGCAUCAGGUAACAUCAAAUCGUACCCCAAACCGACACAGGUGGUCAGGUAGAGAAUACCAAGGCGCUUGAGAGAACUCGGGUGAAGGAACUAGGCAAAAUGGUGCCGUAACUUCGGGAGAAGGCACGCUGAUAUGUAGGUGAAGUCCCUCGCGGAUGGAGCUGAAAUCAGUCGAAGAUACCAGCUGGCUGCAACUGUUUAUUAAAAACACAGCACUGUGCAAACACGAAAGUGGACGUAUACGGUGUGACGCCUGCCCGGUGCCGGAAGGUUAAUUGAUGGGGUCAGCGCAAGCGAAGCUCUUGAUCGAAGCCCCGGUAAACGGCGGCCGUAACUAUAACGGUCCUAAGGUAGCGAAAUUCCUUGUCGGGUAAGUUCCGACCUGCACGAAUGGCGUAAUGAUGGCCAGGCUGUCUCCACCCGAGACUCAGUGAAAUUGAACUCGCUGUGAAGAUGCAGUGUACCCGCGGCAAGACGGAAAGACCCCGUGAACCUUUACUAUAGCUUGACACUGAACAUUGAGCCUUGAUGUGUAGGAUAGGUGGGAGGCUUUGAAGUGUGGACGCCAGUCUGCAUGGAGCCGACCUUGAAAUACCACCCUUUAAUGUUUGAUGUUCUAACGUUGACCCGUGAUCCGGGUUGCGGACAGUGUCUGGUGGGUAGUUUGACUGGGGCGGUCUCCUCCUAAAGAGUAACGGAGGAGCACGAAGGUUGGCUAAUCCUGGUCGGACAUCAGGAGGUUAGUGCAAUGGCAUAAGCCAGCUUGACUGCGAGCGUGACGGCGCGAGCAGGUGCGAAAGCAGGUCAUAGUGAUCCGGUGGUUCUGAAUGGAAGGGCCAUCGCUCAACGGAUAAAAGGUACUCCGGGGAUAACAGGCUGAUACCGCCCAAGAGUUCAUAUCGACGGCGGUGUUUGGCACCUCGAUGUCGGCUCAUCACAUCCUGGGGCUGAAGUAGGUCCCAAGGGUAUGGCUGUUCGCCAUUUAAAGUGGUACGCGAGCUGGGUUUAGAACGUCGUGAGACAGUUCGGUCCCUAUCUGCCGUGGGCGCUGGAGAAUUGAGGGGGGCUGCUCCUAGUACGAGAGGACCGGAGUGGACGCAUCACUGGUGUUCGGGUUGUCAUGCCAAUGGCACUGCCCGGUAGCUAAAUGCGGAAGAGAUAAGUGCUGAAAGCAUCUAAGCACGAAACUUGCCCCGAGAUGAGUUCUCCCUGACUCCUUGAGAGUCCUGAAGGAACGUUGAAGACGACGACGUUGAUAGGCCGGGUGUGUAAGCGCAGCGAUGCGUUGAGCUAACCGGUACUAAUGAACCGUGAGGCUUAACCUU
rnacentral:rRNA from 1 species